AGUACUUAGUCAUUAACAAUUAACAUAGUCAACCCUUUUACAUUAUACUAACCGUUUAAUAAUGGAGAUUUCUCCCCCGGAACCUCCGGACCCUCCGGAUAUCCCCACACUCGCCGGGUCAAAACGGCGUAAACAUACAAGCAGCUCAGAAGAAAACGCUGCAAAAAAAACUAUAACUGAUACGGAUCUGGCUUCGGCGUCCAUUCAGAAUGUAUUUUGUGACCUAAGUUUAGUUAUUGGUUUUAAACAAUAUACGGAUUUUGAUAAAGGUCCAUUUAUUAUCCAUGUUUCUCGUAUCGAGGAAGACCCUACCUCAGGCCAAACUAUAAAGCCCAUCAAAUUCGGUCAACUACUGCAUAGGCAUAAAAUUCCAAAUAUUUGCCCUGACGGCAUAAAAAAAAUCGGUAGGAAUAAAAUAGCUGUUACAUUCAAAUCGUCUGGUGAUGCAAACAAAUUUUUAGAUAACCCUGUAUUAUCUGCCAAUAAAUAUACAGCAACAAUCCCAAACUUCAACAUAACCAAGAUGGGUAUAGUCCGCCGGGUUCCUGUGGACUUAUCUAUGAACGAGUUUGUGGAGUCUGUCAGUCUUCCCACUGGUUGUGGUAAGAUUUUAAAGGCUCGCAGAUUCAACAGAAAGGUCAUUGAGGAAGAUAUUAUUAGAAAAUUAAACUUUAUGUAAUCUGAACACCGAUUAUUACCGUUAAACUUAGAAGACACAUACUCAAAGCUUGGUAGUCUAAUCUAACGUGAUUCUGGCAAAUCUGUGGUAUAUCUUCCACAGAAGCCACAGUAGGAAGAAUAGA